CCCUUAUGUUUUUUUUAUGACGACGAAUAAAAAACAACAGCGUUACCCCUUAUGGUUUUUUUCAUGACGACCAAAGAAAGACGACAGUGUCACCCCUCAUGUUACAUUUAAUAAAAACGAUAUUGUUACCCCCUAUGCUUUAAUUGAUAAAUAUCGACAGUUGUUACCCCUUAUGUUUUUUUUCUUGACGACCGAUAAAAAACAACAGUGUUACCCCUCAUGUUUUUUUUCAUGACGACCAAUAAAAAACGAAAGUGUUACCCCUUUUGUUUUUUUUCUUGACGACCGAUAAAAAACAGCAGUGUUACCCCUCAUGUUUUUUUUCAUGACGACCAAUAAAAAACGACAGUGUUACCCCUUUUGUUUUUUUUCUUGACGACCGAUAAAAAACAACAGUGUUACCCCUUAUGUUCUUUUCUUGACGACCAAUAAAAAACAACAGUUUUACCCCUUAUGUUUUUUUUCAUGACGACCAAUAAAAAACAACAGUGUUACCCCUUAUGUUUUUUUUCAUGACGACCAAUAAAAAACGACAGUGUUACCCCUUAU
ensembl:lncRNA